GAUGAAGAACGCAGCGAAAUGCGAUACGUAGUGCGAAUUGCAGAAUUCAGUGAAUCAUCGAAUCUUUGAACGCACAUUGCACCUCUCGGUAUUCCGGGAGGUAUGCCUGUUCGAGCGUCAUUUGUACCCUCAAGCUCUGCUUGGUGUUGGGUGUUUGUUCCGCCUCUGUGUGUGAACUCGCCUCAAAACAAUUGGCAGCCGGCGUACUUGUUUCGGAGCGCAGCACAUUUUGCGAUCCAGAUCAACGUACAGCGGCAUCCAAGAAGCCUUAUUUAACGCUCUUGACCUCGGAUCAGGUAGGGAUACCCGCUGAACUUAAGCAUAUCAAUAAGCGGAGGA
rnacentral:misc_RNA from 1 species